AGAGUUUGAUCCUGGCUCAGGAUGAACGCUAGCUACAGGCUUAACACAUGCAAGUCGAGGGGCAUCGGGAAGAAAGCUUGCUUUCUUUGCCGGCGACCGGCGCACGGGUGAGUAACACGUAUCCAACCUGCCCUUUACUCGGGGAUAGCCUUUCGAAAGAAAGAUUAAUACCCGAUAGCAUAAUGAUUCCGCAUGGUUUCAUUAUUAAAGGAUUCCGGUAAAGGAUGGGGAUGCGUUCCAUUAGGUUGUUGGUGAGGUAACGGCUCACCAAGCCUUCGAUGGAUAGGGGUUCUGAGAGGAAGGUCCCCCACAUUGGAACUGAGACACGGUCCAAACUCCUACGGGAGGCAGCAGUGAGGAAUAUUGGUCAAUGGGCGCUAGCCUGAACCAGCCAAGUAGCGUGAAGGAUGAAGGCUCUAUGGGUCGUAAACUUCUUUUAUAUAAGAAUAAAGUGCAGUAUGUAUACUGUUUUGUAUGUAUUAUAUGAAUAAGGAUCGGCUAACUCCGUGCCAGCAGCCGCGGUAAUACGGAGGAUCCGAGCGUUAUCCGGAUUUAUUGGGUUUAAAGGGAGCGUAGGUGGACUGGUAAGUCAGUUGUGAAAGUUUGCGGCUCAACCGUAAAAUUGCAGUUGAUACUGUCAGUCUUGAGUACAGUAGAGGUGGGCGGAAUUCGUGGUGUAGCGGUGAAAUGCUUAGAUAUCACGAAGAACUCCGAUUGCGAAGGCAGCUCACUGGACUGCAACUGACACUGAUGCUCGAAAGUGUGGGUAUCAAACAGGAUUAGAUACCCUGGUAGUCCACACAGUAAACGAUGAAUACUCGCUGUUUGCGAUAUACAGUAAGCGGCCAAGCGAAAGCAUUAAGUAUUCCACCUGGGGAGUACGCCGGCAACGGUGAAACUCAAAGGAAUUGACGGGGGCCCGCACAAGCGGAGGAACAUGUGGUUUAAUUCGAUGAUACGCGAGGAACCUUACCCGGGCUUAAAUUGCAGUGGAAUGAUGUGGAAACAUGUCAGUGAGCAAUCACCGCUGUGAAGGUGCUGCAUGGUUGUCGUCAGCUCGUGCCGUGAGGUGUCGGCUUAAGUGCCAUAACGAGCGCAACCCUUAUCUUCAGUUACUAACAGGUCAUGCUGAGGACUCUGGAGAGACUGCCGUCGUAAGAUGUGAGGAAGGUGGGGAUGACGUCAAAUCAGCACGGCCCUUACGUCCGGGGCUACACAC
rnacentral:rRNA from 1 species